CCUACGGGUGGCAGCAGUCGAGAAUUAUUCACAAUGGCGGAAACCCUGAUGGUGCGACGCCGCGUGGGGGAAUGAAGGUCUUCGGAUUGUAAACCCCUGUCAUGUGGGAGCAAAUUAAAAAGCUAGUACCACAUGAGGAAGAGACGGCUAACUCUGUGCCAGCAGCCGCGUUAAUACAGCGGUCUCAAGCGUUGUUCGGAAUCACUGGGCGUAAAGCGUGCGUAGGCUGUUUCGUAAGUCGUGUGUGAAAGGCGCGGGCUCAACCCGCGGACGGAACAUGAUAAUGCGAGAACAGAGGAAUGGAGGGGGAACCGGAAUUGCCGGUGGAGGAGUGAAAUGCGUAGAUAUCGAGAGGAACACUCGUGGCGAAGGCGGGUUCCUGGACAUUAACUGACGCCGAGGCACGAAGGCCAGGGGAGCGAAAGGGAUUAGAUACCCCUGUAGUC
rnacentral:rRNA from 1 species